GACAGAGGUGCCAAGCGUUAGGCGGAAUCACUGGGCUUAAAGCGUGUGUAGGCGGGCGAUCAAGUACCUUGUGAAAUCCCCGGGCUCAACCCGGGAACUGCUUCUGAUACUGGCGGACUUGAGGCCAGUAGGGGUCACUAGAACUGACGGUGGAGCGGUGAAAUGCGUAGAUAUCGUCAGGAAUGCCGGUGGUGAAGACGGGUGACUGGGCUGGUUCUGACACUGAGGCACGAAAGCGUGGGGAGCGAACGGG
rnacentral:rRNA from 1 species